rnacentral:lncRNA from 1 species
CUGAAGAGUAAAUAAAGUGAGCAAGAAUACUCUCUUGUCAUCAGAUUACUGAGGUGUACUGGAGAUAGGUUGAAUGGUUUUACAGAUGAAUUACAGUGAAAACUUUGAAACACUAAUAAUCUCUUCUGUGUUGAGAAAUAACCUACUAAUCAUUAACUUCAUAAUUAUCAGCUCAGCCAGGAAACUACACCACCUAAAACUCAGCUAACAAAAAAGAGAAGCAGCUGAACAUCAAAAGAGAAGCAGCAGCUGGGCAUCAGAGACUAUGGUUGGACGUUGGAGAGAAGCAGCUUGAUUUCAGAGAGACAGCUUGACAGUGCAACUUUGGAGAAG